GGUAUGAUUCAUGACUGGGGUGAAGUCGUAACAAGGUAACCGUAGGGGAACCUGCGGUUGGAUCACCUCCUUACCU
rnacentral:rRNA from 1 species